GCCGGUGUUUAUAGCGAUGAGGACCCACCUGUUCCCAUCCCGAACACAGUAGUUAAGCUCAUCUACGCCGAAAAUACUUGGCGGGCGACUGCCUGGUAAGAUAGGUCGAUGCCGGCU
rnacentral:rRNA from 1 species